CAUGGUAUUUUAUAUAGAAUGUAAAUUUUGUAAAUUUAAGGAUAGGUGGUCAGUAAUAGUCUUAUUUUGA
rnacentral:tRNA from 1 species